CAGAGAGAAUUAAAUACAGCAGAGAUUUCCUGUUAAAGCUUUCAAGUGUUUCCAUCUGCAGAAAAAAACCAGACUUUCUGCCUGAUCAUCCCAUUGUACUUCAAAAACCAGAGAACAACCAAAGUUUUAAGUAGCAUUUUAAGAACAGAUGAAUUUGAAGAUAAAGAAUUAUUCAUUUUAUAUUUUGGACACCUGCAAAUAAAGUGGAUCUACUAACAGUAACUGUAAUGGACUGUGACUAUUCAAUUUAUUUUUAAUUUUGAUGGUUGACUAUUUAGCCUCUCUUAAAAUGAGAAAGAUAUUUUAAACUAUAAAGAAUUUUUUAAUCAGUUUCAGUUUUGUAGGCAGUUUCCUAUAUAAAUUGAGAAGUACCCUGGAAAGUAGAAAUUUGGUUAGUGAAGGGAGAAAACUGUAUUUAUAAUUUGCAUGCUACUUGGAAUAUUUUUCUUUUCAUCACUUGUAAUAAUGAAAUGGAAAUGUAAGCUGUAAAGAUUCUCAGAUAUACAGUAUUUACUAUAGUGUA